UACGGGGGGAGCAAGCGUUGUUCGGAUUUACUGGGCGUAAAGGGCGCGUAGGCGGUCGUGACAAGUCACUUGUGAAAUCUCCGGGCUUAACUCGGAACGGUCAAGUGAUACUGUCGGACUAGAGUACAGAAGGGGCAACUGGAAUUCUCGGUGUAGCGGUGAAAUGCGUAGAUAUCGAGAGGAACACCUGCAGCGAAGGCGGGUUGCUGGGCUGAUACGUGACGCUGAGGCGCGAAAGCCGGGGGAGCGAACGGG
rnacentral:rRNA from 1 species